UAUUGAAAACCAAAGACACACGAAGCUGAUUUCUCAGUAUAUUACAACUACCAGUAUAUGUAUAUUGCUAUUCAUUAUGUAAUAAGCUUGCUUUGGUAUACUUUGUAUAUGAACCAAAUAUUCGAGUUUAACUGAUGUUAUAGUCUCUUUCUUUUAGUAUUUACUGCUGCUAUGGUCACUUUGCUUAUUUGUGAACUCUCGGAGGUAUUUUGUAGAGAAUUACUUUCUCUGGAAACAUUUUCAGUUGUUUUCUUAAACUUCCCUAGAAAUUAUCUCCAUACUAUGUGGAAGAGAUUAUGAUUAUCAUAUUUCAAAAUUUUAUGUGAGUGUACAAGCUUACUUUUUUUUCAAAACUGGAAAUUUUCUUCUAUCUUGCCUAUUCUUGUCUUUAAAGAGUUUCCAUUUCUGUACCUAUUGCAAGAAAGUUGUCUAUUUUGUAACUUUCUGGCCAGUAGCUUGUGAUGUGAUUUCAUGUAAUAUUUAAUACUGUGACUUGUUCAUUUUAUAAAUAAAAGUGUACACUCAU
rnacentral:misc_RNA from 1 species